rnacentral:rRNA from 1 species
AUGGCUCAGGACGAACGCUGGCGGCGUGCCUAAUACAUGCAAGUCGAGCGAACAGAAGGGAGCUUGCUCCCGGAUGUUAGCGGCGGACGGGUGAGUAACACGUGGGUAACCUGCCUGUAAGACUGGGAUAACUCCGGGAAACCGGAGCUAAUACCGGAUAGUUCCUUGAACCGCAUGGUUCAAGGAUGAAAGACGGUUUCGGCUGUCACUUACAGAUGGACCCGCGGCGCAUUAGCUAGUUGGUGGGGUAAUGGCUCACCAAGGCGACGAUGCGUAGCCGACCUGAGAGGGUGAUCGGCCACACUGGGACUGAGACACGGCCCAGACUCCUACGGGAGGCAGCAGUAGGGAAUCUUCCGCAAUGGACGAAAGUCUGACGGAGCAACGCCGCGUGAGUGAUGAAGGUUUUCGGAUCGUAAAGCUCUGUUGUUAGGGAAGAACAAGUGCGAGAGUAACUGCUCGCACCUUGACGGUACCUAACCAGAAAGCCACGGCUAACUACGUGCCAGCAGCCGCGGUAAUACGUAGGUGGCAAGCGUUGUCCGGAAUUAUUGGGCGUAAAGGGCUCGCAGGCGGUUUCUUAAGUCUGAUGUGAAAGCCCCCGGCUCAACCGGGGAGGGUCAUUGGAAACUGGGAAACUUGAGUGCAGAAGAGGAGAGUGGAAUUCCACGUGUAGCGGUGAAAUGCGUAGAGAUGUGGAGGAACACCAGUGGCGAAGGCGACUCUCUGGUCUGUAACUGACGCUGAGGAGCGAAAGCGUGGGGAGCGAACAGGAUUAGAUACCCUGGUAGUCCACGCCGUAAACGAUGAGUGCUAAGUGUUAGGGGGUUUCCGCCCCUUAGUGCUGCAGCUAACGCAU